CUGGUUAAAAGUGAAUUUCGUGUUUGGGAAUUGGGACAUUACCCCUCGCCCGUGGGCUUGCUGAGGGUGCGUGUGGGCAGCGGUGUGCGGUGUGGUACUGCACCCUGUUGGUCUGCGGCGUUACCGAGCGCCCAGCACACUCACAGCCCUGUGCAAGGCGAUUGAUUUCACCUUACAGCUUUCCCUCAGACGAGUCGUCACACAAUGCCGUGUGGAGAAAGGUGGGAAGGAAAGAAAUUCACGUUCCUGCAGACAGCGUGACCUGCAGGGGUGAGAAGAAAAAGUUGGAUUCAAAGCACAGAAGGGUGACUCAAAGGAGUGACUCACGUGGUGUGCAAGAGAGCACGUUCGGAAGAACCCUAACAAGGUUUUGGGAACUGGCUGCCAAAACUAAUUCCAGAGAAGGUGAUGAAGAAGUUGUCAGAUUCGGUCUGAUCUCCCUCGGUACACGACCACUGAGCUCAUUUUAACUCAGAAGCCAACCUCAGACAGGUGUCCCAGCAGACCAGAAGCACACAACUUCUGGAAGGGGGCCAAGGCGAAUGGCACAGGAGCUUUGGGGCUGACAGGCUGCAGAAGAAGACUACCAGGGGGUCAAAGUGACUCCAUGAGGUGGGUAGCAGGAUCAGAGAGAUCACACAUCUCACCAAACCAGCCAGGCAGAGAGAUCCACCCUCUCGUCUCGUCUCAUCUCGGCAGCUCGUCUGCCGCCCACCCUCCCUGCCUACAGAGAGCUGCCAGAGGUCCUGUGUCUGCCUUGCCUUUGGUUUAGUUCGGCUUGGCCUGGAUGACUAGGGCUUGCCCACUGCCAUCAUCGGCCCCAGGUCCUAACUCGGCACCCUGGGGCUGAAUAGGAUGAAAAUGAAUGCCAAGGACAAGCACCUGGUGACAUUUGCUUCUGGACUGGAACCCUAAGGGAAUUUCUUUUAGGAUGUUCAGCUGGGGAAACCACAGUCUUGGAGUAGCUGAUAGAGGCAUUUUAAAUAUGCUGUAUUGUAAUAAUAUUGGAGAGGACCUGGAGAUAGGAUUGUUAUUUUGUUCUCCUUAGGACACGAGCUUCAUGACUCUUUGUCUCAUUACUUGGCUGGAAUCUGAACUACAAUGAAGCACAGGUGUACAUGCUUAAGCAUCCAAAUGCCUACUUCUCACACAUGCACAUGAUUUUGGGUGAUGGGCUGCGACUUAGUUGCUGCACGAGGCUUAAGCAAAGAUGAACAGCUUAAAAAAAAAAAAAAAAAAAAGGAGUGUGGUGCGAUGGGAGAAGAGAACAUCCAUUCAAAAUUCAUUGAAUUCAUUGCUGUUGACUCCUGGCAGGGUUUUCAGGUAUCAUAUGGCAGCUUUUCCCACAGCUACCAUCGUAAAUUUAGGUUACACGAUUGAGGGACAUCAGUGGUUAAUUGAGGGAGUCAGGGGCUCUUUUUGCUGUCCUUAUUAAUAAUAUAGCCCUUUUCCUGAGAUUUUCCUUGCUUCCCAGUUUCAUUGCAGACCCAGUUUUAACUUAUAUAUACACACCUACAGCUUCCGUGGCUUUCUGUCGUAACCAUGCUGUGGCCUUUCCCUUCCUGGUUGCACACACACAGCCCCACCACCAGAUACCUGUCCCUGCGUUUGUCAUGAGUGCCUGGGGACACCCCUUCUUUGUGUGCAGCACUGUGGGUAGGGCUCCUGGUAAUACAGCUCCUGUCCUGCAGCAGACCCCUCCAUGCCUUUGGGCGCAGAGCAGCCUUACAGCAACCAGCUAGGAGAGCUCAGCCCUGCCUGCAAGGGGAUUUUGUGCCACUGACUGUGGCCUGCUGCUGUCUGAGGGCUGACAGAGCUCAGUGUGGUGCACAAAGUCAGGAGCCAUGCUGCAAUGACUAAUUUCUUAAAGCUUCUUGAAGCUUCAGUGUUCCCUUGCUCUCAUUUUCUCUAGUCUUUGUGUGCAGUCCCCAACAGGAGGCUGAUCCCAGCAGCCGUUUCUGAGCUGCCGCUGCCUCAGAGGAGAGGCAAAGAGGGGAGAGCCCAGCUCAAAUCCCAGCCCUGGCCUGACGCACUCGGUGGCAGCGUGUCUCCUGGGAGCAUUAAAAGUGAUGCACGAAGGAAGCCUGCAUGGCAAUGAGGCACAGAUGUCAGCACAGCCUUCAGUGUCAGCCCGUUUAUAUCUGCAGAGGGGGAAGCACAAUUGGUGCGAGGCAGAGAGACCCAGGGCAGGUUUCUCCUGCGUGGCCAGGACAAGAGGGCACCACAGGGAAAUGGGGCAGCACAGUUCCAGGAGCAACAUGCCCCAGCAGCCCACCAGCACA